rnacentral:rRNA from 1 species
CCUACGGGGGACAGCAGUGAGGAAUCUUGGUCAAUGGCCGUAAGGCUGAACCAGCCAAGUAGCGUGAGGGAAGACUGCUCUAUGGGUUGUAAACCUCUUUUGUCCGAGAACAAAACCCGGUACGUGUCCCGGAUUGCGUGUAUCCGACGAAAAAGCAUCGGCUAACUCCGUGCCAGCAGCCGCGGUAAUACGGAGGAUGCGAGCGUUAUCCGGAUUUAUUGGGUUUAAAGGGUGCGUAGGCGGUCCUUUAAGUUAGCGGUAAAAUUGCGGGGCUCAACCCCGUCGAGCCGUUGAAACUGGCAGACUUGAGUUGGCGAGAAGUACGCGGAAUGCGCGGUGUAGCGGUGAAAUGCAUAGAUAUCGCGCAGAACUCCGAUUGCGAAGGCAGCGUACCGGCGCCAGACUGACGCUGAGGCACGAAAGCGUGGGGAUCGAACAGGAUUAGAUACCCCUGUAGUC